AUUGAACGCUGGCGGCAUGCUUUACACAUGCAAGUCGAGCGGCAGCGCGGGGGCAACCCUGGCGGCGAGCGGCGAACGGGUGAGUAAUGCAUCGGAACGUACCCUGGAGUGGGGGAUAACGCCGCGAAAGCGGCGCUAAUACCGCCUAUGCCCUGAGGAGGAAAGUGGGGGACCGCAAGGCCUCACGCCCUGGGAGCGGCCGAUGCCCGAUUAGCUAGUUGGUGGGGUAAAGGCUUACCAAAGCGACGAUCGGUAGCUGGUCUGAGAGGAUGAUCAGCCACACUGGGACUGAGACACGGCCCAGACUCCUACGGGAGGCAGCAGUGGGGAAUUUUGGACAAUGGGGGCAACCCUGAUCCAGCCAUGCCGCGUGAGUGAAGAAGGCCUUCGGGUUGUAAAGCUCUUUUGGUCGGGAAGAAAGUGCUCUGCUUAAUACGCGGGGUAUUUGACGGUACCGGCAGAAUAAGCACCGGCUAACUACGUGCCAGCCGCCGCUGUAACAC
rnacentral:rRNA from 1 species